GGUUAAGCGACUAAGCGUACACGGUGGAUGCCCUGGCAGUCAGAGGCGAUGAAGGACGUGCUAAUCUGCGAUAAGCGUCGGUAAGGUGAUAUGAACCGUUAUAACCGGCGAUUUCCGAAUGGGGAAACCCAGUGUGUUUCGACACACUAUCAUUAACUGAAUCCAUAGGUUAAUGAGGCGAACCGGGGGAACUGAAACAUCUAAGUACCCCGAGGAAAAGAAAUCAACCGAGAUUCCCCCAGUAGCGGCGAGCGAACGGGGAGCAGCCCAGAGCCUGAAUCAGUAUGUGUGUUAGUGGAAGCGUCUGGAAAGGCGCGCGAUACAGGGUGACAGCCCCGUACACAAAAAUGCACAUAUUGUGAGCUCGAUGAGUAGGGCGGGACACGUGGUAUCCUGUCUGAAUAUGGGGGGACCAUCCUCCAAGGCUAAAUACUCCUGACUGACCGAUAGUGAACCAGUACCGUGAGGGAAAGGCGAAAAGAACCCCGGCGAGGGGAGUGAAAAAGAACCUGAAACCGUGUACGUACAAGCAGUGGGAGCACGCUUAGGCGUGUGACUGCGUACCUUUUGUAUAAUGGGUCAGCGACUUAUAUUCUGUAGCAAGGUUAACCGAAUAGGGGAGCCGAAGGGAAACCGAGUCUUAACUGGGCGUUAAGUUGCAGGGUAUAGACCCGAAACCCGGUGAUCUAGCCAUGGGCAGGUUGAAGGUUGGGUAACACUAACUGGAGGACCGAACCGACUAAUGUUGAAAAAUUAGCGGAUGACUUGUGGCUGGGGGUGAAAGGCCAAUCAAACCGGGAGAUAGCUGGUUCUCCCCGAAAGCUAUUUAGGUAGCGCCUCGUGAAUUCAUCUCCGGGGGUAGAGCACUGUUUCGGCAAGGGGGUCAUCCCGACUUACCAACCCGAUGCAAACUGCGAAUACCGGAGAAUGUUAUCACGGGAGACACACGGCGGGUGCUAACGUCCGUCGUGAAGAGGGAAACAACCCAGACCGCCAGCUAAGGUCCCAAAGUCAUGGUUAAGUGGGAAACGAUGUGGGAAGGCCCAGACAGCCAGGAUGUUGGCUUAGAAGCAGCCAUCAUUUAAAGAAAGCGUAAUAGCUCACUGGUCGAGUCGGCCUGCGCGGAAGAUGUAACGGGGCUAAACCAUGCACCGAAGCUGCGGCAGCGACACUAUGUGUUGUUGGGUAGGGGAGCGUUCUGUAAGCCUGUGAAGGUGUGCUGUGAGGCAUGCUGGAGGUAUCAGAAGUGCGAAUGCUGACAUAAGUAACGAUAAAGCGGGUGAAAAGCCCGCUCGCCGGAAGGCCAAGGGUUCCUGUCCAACGUUAAUCGGGGCAGGGUGAGUCGACCCCUAAGGCGAGGCCGAAAGGCGUAGUCGAUGGGAAACAGGUUAAUAUUCCUGUACUUGGUGUUACUGCGAAGGGGGGACGGAGAAGGCUAUGUUGGCCGGGCGACGGUUGUCCCGGUUUAAGCGUGUAGGCUGGUUUUCCAGGCAAAUCCGGAAAAUCAAGGCUGAGGCGUGAUGACGAGGCACUACGGUGCUGAAGCAACAAAUGCCCUGCUUCCAGGAAAAGCCUCUAAGCAUCAGGUAACAUCAAAUCGUACCCCAAACCGACACAGGUGGUCAGGUAGAGAAUACCAAGGCGCUUGAGAGAACUCGGGUGAAGGAACUAGGCAAAAUGGUGCCGUAACUUCGGGAGAAGGCACGCUGAUAUGUAGGUGAAGUCCCUCGCGGAUGGAGCUGAAAUCAGUCGAAGAUACCAGCUGGCUGCAACUGUUUAUUAAAAACACAGCACUGUGCAAACACGAAAGUGGACGUAUACGGUGUGACGCCUGCCCGGUGCCGGAAGGUUAAUUGAUGGGGUUAGCCGCAAGGCGAAGCUCUUGAUCGAAGCCCCGGUAAACGGCGGCCGUAACUAUAACGGUCCUAAGGUAGCGAAAUUCCUUGUCGGGUAAGUUCCGACCUGCACGAAUGGCGUAAUGAUGGCCAGGCUGUCUCCACCCGAGACUCAGUGAAAUUGAACUCGCUGUGAAGAUGCAGUGUACCCGCGGCAAGACGGAAAGACCCCGUGAACCUUUACUAUAGCUUGACACUGAACAUUGAGCCUUGAUGUGUAGGAUAGGUGGGAGGCUUAGAAGUGUGGACGCCAGUCUGCAUGGAGCCGACCUUGAAAUACCACCCUUUAAUGUUUGAUGUUCUAACGUUGACCCGUAAUCCGGGUUGCGGACAGUGUCUGGUGGGUAGUUUGACUGGGGCGGUCUCCUCCUAAAGAGUAACGGAGGAGCACGAAGGUUGGCUAAUCCUGGUCGGACAUCAGGAGGUUAGUGCAAUGGCAUAAGCCAGCUUGACUGCGAGCGUGACGGCGCGAGCAGGUGCGAAAGCAGGUCAUAGUGAUCCGGUGGUUCUGAAUGGAAGGGCCAUCGCUCAACGGAUAAAAGGUACUCCGGGGAUAACAGGCUGAUACCGCCCAAGAGUUCAUAUCGACGGCGGUGUUUGGCACCUCGAUGUCGGCUCAUCACAUCCUGGGGCUGAAGUAGGUCCCAAGGGUAUGGCUGUUCGCCAUUUAAAGUGGUACGCGAGCUGGGUUUAGAACGUCGUGAGACAGUUCGGUCCCUAUCUGCCGUGGGCGCUGGAGAACUGAGGGGGGCUGCUCCUAGUACGAGAGGACCGGAGUGGACGCAUCACUGGUGUUCGGGUUGUCAUGCCAAUGGCACUGCCCGGUAGCUAAAUGCGGAAGAGAUAAGUGCUGAAAGCAUCUAAGCACGAAACUUGCCCCGAGAUGAGUUCUCCCUGAC
rnacentral:rRNA from 1 species